rnacentral:tRNA from 1 species
AAAAAGAUAAGCUAAUUAAGCUAUUGGGUUCAUACCCCAUAUAUGAAGGUUCUAACCCUUCUCUUUUUA